UACAGAGGGUGCGAGCGUUAAUCGGAAUUACUGGGCGUAAAGCGCGCGUAGGCGGCUUUUCAAGUCGAUUGUGAAAUCCCCGGGCUUAACCUGGGAACUGCAGUCGAGACUGUCUAGCUAGAGUAUGGGAGAGGGAAGUGGAAUUUCAGGUGUAGCGGUGAAAUGCGUAGAGAUUUGGAGGAACACCAGUGGCGAAGGCGACUUUCUGGUCUGUAACUGACGCUGAGGCGCGAAAGCGUGGGGAGCAAACAGG
rnacentral:rRNA from 1 species